AACUCAUUUCAUUUCCCACAAUCACCUCAUCAAUCCACACCACAUCAUAUCCACCAAUAAUACACUACCACUUCAACAAAGAAACACAAAUCGUCAUCCAAAAGCACAAACUCAUCUGAUUCGUUAAUUCUAUUUAACCCAAGGGUUAUACAUAUAUAUUUAAAUCGGGACCGUCUGAUCGAAUGAUCGGAUGAUCCAGAUUUUAGUCAAAAGGCCAAUCCUCAAAAAUGCAUGUGAUACUCCCUUCCCAAAACCAGAAACACGUGUGACCCCUUUCCCAUUGUCGCGCCCCUUUCCCCAUCUUUCUCAAAUAUAGUGUUCCAUCACCAUCAUCUUGGACCAAAAAUGCAAAAACCAACGCCCUUUCUCUCCUCUCUCCUCUCUCCUCUCUCCUCUCUCCUUCUUCCUCCUCUCCUUCGUACCCAAACCAGAAUGGCCCUAAUAGCCAUAGCUGCUGCGGCAGAGCUGCUAGCCUGCCAAGAUUCACUCAUUUUUUACCUCCCCAGCCCAUGAAAACAACAAAUCAGAGAAAACCAGUCCCAAAUUGAUAUAGCAACGGAAAUUGGUUCAAAUCCACCAUUAAAAGCUUUAAAAAGGGUGAAGAUUUGGAAAUUUAUUUCAGAAAAUUUGAAUUUGAAAUUCGAUUCCUCUCUCGAUUCUCAUAUUUUUCUCAAAAUUUUGACUUCAAAUACGAACUUUAAAGCCCGAAUUUAACCAAUAAAUAAGGGUAUUCUUUACCCGCAUAGACAGAGGUAAAAAAAUGAGAGGAAAAAUAGAGUGGAAAUAAGGUCAAAAAUUUAGAAAAAGAGUGAAAAACUUGAAAAACAUAAAAGAAAUGCUCAGAGAAAAAGGAGGAAGAAUUAAAAAAAAAUAGAAGAAAAUUUGAAAGAAAAAGGGGCUAAACGAAAGUUGAAGUUUGAGAAAUUGGGAGAAACGAGGCCUGAGUUUGAGUCCAAGGAAUCCCAAAUUUAUCAUCGAAAAAUUCUUGACGUUGGAGCUUCGAUUUGCUGCCCAACAAAAGGUAAAUCAUCCUUUUACCCCAUCUUUAUCUCCAUCCCUUUCGUCUGUUGUGACUUAACCCAUCUCGGAUUCAAGUUGUUUGUUGUGUUUUUUGGACCCUGUGGAUAAAAGUAAUUUUUGAUCUAGAAAAAAUUAUCGUAUGAAUAUGCAAAUCUGUAAGCAUGUGAAUAUUCAAUUUGUCGUGAUAUCAAAUUGGAUUGUUGGUAUGAUUAUUUGUUUAUUUGCAAAUCAGACUCAAACAAUUAUUUUAGUCUAUAUCGUUUCACUAUGGGCAAUCACUUUUCUAUUUUUCUUAAAUUGGAAGCGAGUUUUUUGUGAAAAUAUGGCAAAAAUAUGUUUUCUCCUAAAAUUAUACACGACCAAUGAUCAUUUUUGCUUUAUUUCCUUUUUGUGGAUUGAAAUAUUGAUAUAUUUUGGGAAGGUUUUAUUUGCCUUUAAUGGAAAAAGCAGAAUCAUGUUAUUUAAAAAUUCACCCCUUUAUCUCCUUUCCUUUUGUCUCUUUGAUUUUGCAAAUAUGUGAAUCUUUUGGGUGUCGAGUUCACGUCGAUUUUUUUAGUUUACACCUUGCAUUUUGAGUGCAAGAUGUGUUCCUUGCAGUUUGAGUGCAAGAUGUGUUCCUGUAUGAUUUCUUUUUCUUGUUUCUCAAUAGACACCAUGUUUUAUUUUAAAUUAAAUAGGUGAGUAGUAUGAGUUUUUCUCUAAUUUGCACAAAUCGAGUUUAAAUUAUUGUUGUCUUAUUUUCAAUUCGUCUCAACAUUAAUUUUUUUUUAAGGCAUUUGAAUUAGUGUAACACCGCAUAUUUUUGGGCUAAAAUUUAAAUCGUCGUUCAUAUAUAUAUAGAUCCGAACCCAAUGAUUUUACAUUAAUAUAUGUGUGAUGAUCAAUUCUAUAGCGUGGGGAUAUCUUUGGAUGUGAAUUGAGGUCGCAAAAAUCUCCUAAUUCAAAGAUGAGUUGAAAUUUUUUCGGUCGUCCUUAUUUGGGUCAACUUCCAAUGACCAUUACACCUAUAAUUUAACGAGUUAUAUGUCCUAAUAUAUACCAAAUAAUAUAUCUUCGAGUCUUAUUUCCAAAGCAUCUGAUUUCACCUUAAUCUGAUAUCAGAGUAGAAAGUUAUGCUCAUUUACUUGAAAGACGAGCUGUCAACUUAGUCGUCAGCCUUAAACAAAAAAGACCCUAAAUCACUUAGGAAAGUUGACGACUAAGUUGACAAGGCAUCAACUAGUGGAUAAGUUGUCAGCCAAGUCGUCAACCUUAACCAGAAAGUGUUCAAGUCCAACUAGAGGUUGACGAAUUAGUUGACAAGCUGUCAACUGAAAAUUCUUGUAAUUUUUAUUCAGUUUCUUUAGAGAUAUUUUGGCCCAACUCCUCCCCACAAUUUAAAAACACUAAGAUGCCCUUAUCUUCAGUUAUACAAAUCAAAACACUGCUCUCUCCUAUCUAAAUCCCUAAGUCAAGAACACUAGGGUUUCUCAAGGUUGGUCAUCUUAAUCUUUAAGGGUUUAUUUUUCUCCGUGAUUCUUGAUAUUUCAGGCUUGUAACUCUUCCCCAAAUCUUAUUUUAUUGAAAGCAUGUGUUUAUACUUGUACCUAUGUGAUUUUAUUGAUGAUUUUAAAUGUAGGUUGGGGGUUAUUGAACGUUGCUGAAUUCAUAGCUUUUCCAAUGGCUUUUAUGCAUUAUAUAUGGUUUGAAUUGAGGGUUUUGGAUUUAAUUUGUUUAAAUGAUUUUCCCAUGAUUAUUAUGAAUUAAUUAUACUUGAAUUGUUGAUUUGUACACCCAUUGGGUUGUAUGAGAAUUGUGAAUGAAAUUAGGGAUACAAGAAUUUCCCAAAUAAUUGUAUUUUGGUAUUGAAAUUGAUAAUAACCUCAACCCACUUGCACAAUUAGAUUUAGAAUGUGAUUAAUCAAUUGGUUUGGUUUAUUUUUUUAAAACUAAUAUUUUACAUAAAUGGCUAAAUGGUUAAGGAUGACUUUGAAAAACCUUGUGUGGCACAAGGAUUUUUUCAAGCGGAUAAUAAUGAUUUUGAAAACCUUGUGGGGCACAAGGAAUCCCCAAGUUGAUUUUAAUAAUAGAGUUUGGGCUACAAGGAUUCCCCAAGUGAUGGCUCAAGGACACUCACUUACAAGCUAUAGUCGGUAUGACGAUACCCACUUGAUAAUGUCUUAAUAAUUGACUCAUUGAAUUAAUGAAUGAGUUUGUGCUAAAUAUUUUAAUUGGGCUUAAAGGGGUUGUGUAGCUAACCGUGAAGGUGUGAGUCCCGAAGUACUGAUACUAGAAACUCACGUUUGCCAAUGUAAGGGUUGGUCUUGAUGACUAUGUGCUUAUGUCACACUAUACAUAUAUUUGUAUCAUGGAUAAUGUAGGGUACGAGGAUUCCCCAGACUUUUAUGAUAUCUCCGAUUCGUGCAGUUAACACGUACUGGGGCUCAACAGAAGAUGACAACUGGACCCAUAUAGCCUGUAAAAGGGUGAUUUUCGAUCCUCGAUGAACUCGAGAUACUCAUCACUGGCAAGACCUGGUUUGGAUCGUGACAGUUAGUUUACUAAAGUGGCUCUCUAUUAUAAACAUUGGAUAAGGUUUGUAACUUAUGCAGUUUUUUGUAUUGAGUUUUGACGUGGGUAUAACUUUGUCAAAACUGUCCAAUUUUAAUAUCUGGGGGGUGUAUUUUUGUAACGAUUAAGAAUAUGAUUUUUUUGGGGUGUCGGUAAUGAAAACAUUUUGAAGAAAUGUGCUCUUCCAUUUUCUAUAAAUGUUUGAUUAUGUGUUUGUAGGCCAACAUUCUCAUUAAUUAGUUGUCCUAAAAUUAUUUCUCUUUGACCAUGGUUGUUAAACAUGUUUAUAUUAAUUUUGUUUUUUGAUAUGCAUAUAUUUAUCUUUGUCGAAUUUUGAAAAGUCUUAUCAAGCUAUUUUGAGCUAUUUUGGGUUAUUUGUCCCGUUGGCUCAAGACAUAAUUGUCGUGAUAUUAGAAAUACUAGUUUAGCGUAAAUCUUGAUUUUUUGCGUGAAAUGUACUCUUGAUUGCCAUAUUUUGUUCUUAGUUGUUAGUAUAUAUUAUUUCAUCAUGUGUAGGUUAGUUAUUAAUUCUUAUUGUUUUCUUUGUCGUUAUGUAACUUGAGAUUUGGAGUUUCAAUUUAAACUCCAUUUCGAUUCAAGUAUUGGGUCAGCCGAUACUAGAAUCGUAGAGCCUCGAAGUCGCAUAAAAUUAGAAGGUCAAACUCCAUUUGGAGUCUAGUUCCUCUUAGCCCUUAUCUUUUAGUUCAUUAUUCUUAUUAUGCUAUUAGCCUUUGUAAACUCGAAAUCGCAUUGUUAUUGUUGUAUUUGAUUUAUAUUAUUUGUUUAUUGUAUUUUUGUUGUCUUGAUGCU